ACGGGUGAGUAACGCGUGGAUAUCUGCCUUUUGGUUCGGAAUAACCCCGGGAAACUGGGGCUAAUACCGGAUGGUUCCUUCGGGAUAAAGAUUUAUCGCCAAAAGAUGAGUCCGCGUACGAUUAGCUAGUUGGUGAGGUAAUGGCUCACCAAGGCGACGAUCGUUAGCUGGUCUGAGAGGACGAUCAGCCACACUGGGACUGAGACACGGCCCAGACUCCUACGGGAGGCAGCAGUGGGGAAUAUUGGACAAUGGGGGCAACCCUGAUCCAGCCAUGCCGCGUGAGUGAUGAAGGCCUUCGGGUUGUAAAGCUCUUUUGGCGGGGACGAUGAUGACGGUACCCGCAGAAUAAGCCCCGGCUAACUUCGUGCCAGCAGCCGCGGUAAGACGAAGGGGGCUAGCGUUGUUCGGAAUUACUGGGCGUAAAGCGAGUGUAGGCGGUUGUCAUAGUCAGGUGUGAAAGCCUUGAGCUCAACUCAAGAAAUGCACUUGAUACUGGGCGACUAGAGGACCGGAGAGGAUAGUGGAAUUCCCAGU
rnacentral:rRNA from 1 species